rnacentral:rRNA from 1 species
AUUGAACGCUGGCGGCAGGCCUAACACAUGCAAGUCGAACGAGUGGCGGACGGGUGAGUAAUGUCUGGGCAACUGCCUGAUGGAGGGGGAUAACUACUGGAAACGGUCGCUAAUACCGCAUACCAUCGGAUGUGCCCAGAGGGGAUUAGCUAGUAGGUAGGGUAAAGGCUCACCUAGGCGACGAUCCCUAGCUGGUCUGAGAGGAUGACGCGCAACACUGGAACUGAGAAACGAUCCAGACUCCUACGGGAGGCAACAGUGGGGAAUAUUGCACAAAGGGCGCAAGCCUGAUGCAGCCAUGCCGAGUGUAUGAAGAAGGCAUUCGGGUUGUAAAGUACUUUCAGCGAUGAGGCGUUACCCGCAGAAGAAGCACCGGCUAACUCCGGGCCAGCAGCCGCGGUAAUUC